CCUCAGGCACUGUUGGGACUCCUCCCUGAGGGGAUUUGGGGGGCCCCUCCGGCCUUCCUUCUUCGCAGGGGACCCCCAACGAGGCGCCCACUUCACGAGGGAGACCAGCGCCACCCAACGGCAGGCUAGGUCCCACUGCCCUCAACCAACAUGGCGGCGGUGGCGCGUCUUUUGCCCUUUCUUCCCCCUCCUGUCCGUUCCCUCUUUCCCGUCAUGCCCCCCGCUCAGCGCACGCGCCCAGCAGCCACAUGAGCAAUAAAAAUCUCGGCAGCGAUAGGUCGGCCUCUUGGCCAAUCCCAGGUCGGGUUGUGGGCGGGCCAGGCUUUUGGCGCUUUUUCUCCUCAGCGUCUCCCGCGCCCUUUACGCGAAGGAAGCGCGUCUGCUCUGCUGAAUUCCUGUUCUGAAAAGGAGGAGGAGGAAACUUCGCGUGAUGAAGGGAGAAGAGGAGAUGGAGGAAAAGUUAUGAAGCUCCUUUAACCAAACACCUGAUUCGCCCAGCAGCGUGGCAGCGAAAGCAAAGAGAAGAAAAAGAGGCAAGGCAGCAGUGGAAAAAGAUGGGUUGCCUGCAUGGGCUCUGCUUCAUUCCUUAAUGCCGAAUGUCACAUCUGCCUAAGUCCACUUCCAUUCACCGGAAACGCUUCUUAGCAGCAAGGAGCAAAGGGAAUGUUGGGAAAUACCUAGCUAUCUCUCUAAAUCGCAGCGUGGCAGCGAAAGGAAAGAGAAGAAAGAGAGGCAAGGCAGCUGCCAGACAUCUCCAUGAAGUUACAAAAGGCAGGUCUGAAUUCCUGCUCUGAAAAGGAGAAGGAAGAAGCUUCGCCAGACGAGGGAGAAGAGGAGGUGGAGGAAAAGUCAUGAAGAAGGCGUCUGCUGGGGAUUUGCGCUGCCUCCCGUGGUUCUCUCGGCCUGAUGCGUUUUGGGCUUGGCUGGUCCUGGAGUCUUGCAGUUGCUCUGGCCCUUUCUCCGGAUCGUCUUUGCAACAGCCUGGAGAGAUCUCCUGAAGUCAUUUCGGCACAAUGGAAGUAGCUCCUUCGUUGAAGUUCAUAUCUGUGAAGUUUGCAUCUUGAAGAAGGAGUAUCUGGACAAGACGAUCCUCUGGUAUAUUGCUGCUUUUCCCUCUGAACAGGGAGGAUUGUGUGAAGUGCUAUCGGAAGGGCUAUGUGUGUGUAUACAUGUGUGUGUGUAUGUAAUGUAUACAUACAGCUAUCCGCAGCGUGGGGAGCCCUGUGGGGAACUCCUGCAGGA